ACCCGCUGAACUUAAGCAUAUCAAUAAGCGGAGGAAAAGAAAAUAACAAUGAUUUCCCUAGUAACGGCGAGUGAAGAGGAAAGAGCUCAAAGUUGGAACCUAUUUGGCUUAGCUAAAUCGGAUUGUAAACUGUAGAAGUGUUUUCCAGACACGCCUGGUAAAAAAGUCCUUUGGAACAGGGCAUCAUAGAGGGUGAGAAUCCCGUCAUUGGCCAGAGCUGUUGUCUUUUGUGAUACAUUUUCAAAGAGUCAGGUUGUUUGGGAAUGCAGCCUAAAUUGGGUGGUAAAUCUCACCUAAAGCUAAAUAUUUGCGAGAGACCGAUAGCGAACAAGUACCGUGAGGGAAAGAUGAAAAGAACUUUGAAAAGAGAGUUAAACAGUAUGUGAAAUUGUUAAAAGGGAACCGUUUGGAGCCAGACUGGCUUAAUCGUAAUCAAUCUAGGCUUUGGCCUGGAUGCACUUGCGGUUUAUGCCGGCCAACGACAGUUUUGUUUGGGAGAAAAAAUUACAUUGAAUGUGGCCCCUCGGGGUGUUAUAGCUUUGUAAAAAAUAUCCUGGACUGGACUGAGGAACGCAGUGAAUGCCUUUAGGCAAGAUUGCUGGGUGCUUUCGCUAAUACAUGCUAGAAUUUCUGCUUCGGGUGGUGCUAGUGUUUAAAGGAGGAACUCGCCUGGUAUAUUUUUUAUUCGCUUAGGUUGUUGGCUUAAUGACUCUAAAUGACCCGUCUUGAAACACGGACC
rnacentral:rRNA from 1 species